rnacentral:rRNA from 1 species
AGAGUUUGAUCCUGGCUCAGGACGAACGCUGGCGGCGUGCUUAACACAUGCAAGUCGAGCGGAAAAGGCCCUUCGGGGUACUCGAGCGGCGAACGGGUGAGUAACACGUGAGCAAUCUGCCCUUAGCUUCGGGAUAGCUCCGGGAAACCGGAAUUAAUACCGGAUAUUACUAUGGCCGACAUCAGCCAUGGUGGAAAGUUUUUCGGCUAGGGAUGAGCUCGCGGCCUAUCAGCUAGUUGGUGGGGUAACGGCCUACCAAGGCGACGACGGGUAGCCGGCCUGAGAGGGCGACCGGCCACACUGGGACUGAGACACGGCCCAGACUCCUACGGGAGGCAGCAGUGGGGAAUAUUGCGCAAUGGGCGAAAGCCUGACGCAGCGACGCCGCGUGGGGGAUGAAGGCCUUCGGGUUGUAAACCCCUUUCAGCAGGGACGAAGCGAAAGUGACGGUACCUGCAGAAGAAGCGCCGGCUAACUACGUGCCAGCAGCCGCGGUAACACGUAGGGCGCAAGCGUUGUCCGGAAUUAUUGGGCGUAAAGAGCUCGUAGGCGGUCUGCUACGUCCGCUGUGAAAACCUAGGGCUUAACCCUGGGCUUGCAGUAGAUACGGGCAGACUAGAGGUAGGUAGGGGAGAAUGGAAUUCCCGGUGUAGCGGUGAAAUGCGCAGAUAUCGGGAGGAACACCGGUGGCGAAGGCGGUUCUCUGGGCCUUACCUGACGCUGAGGAGCGAAAGCGUGGGGAGCAAACAGGAUUAGAUACCCCGGUAGUCC